GAUGAAGAACGUAGCGAAAUGCGAUAAGUAAUGUGAAUUGCAGAAUUCAGUGAAUCAUCGAAUCUUUGAACGCACAUUGCGCCCGCCAGUAUUCUGGCGGGCAUGCCUGUCUGAGCGUCAUUUCAACCCUCAUGCCCCUAGGGCGUGGUGUUGGGGAUCGGCCAAAGCCCGCGAGGGACGGCCGGCCCCUAAAUCUAGUGGCGGACCCGUCGUGGCCUCCUCUGCGAAGUAGUGAUAUUCCGCAUCGGAGAGCGAUGAGCCCCUGCCGAUAAACCCCCAACUUUCCAAGGUUGACCUCAGAUCAGGUAGGAAUACCCGCUGAACUUAAGCAUAUCAAUAAGCGGAGGA
rnacentral:misc_RNA from 1 species